UAAACGGGUUUGUCACUCGCUGAUCAUCUGGUUUGUAAUGUUGGAUGUAGAUCAGUACGUUAAUCACAAAAUAUUGAUGUACAAAAUUACCUUAAAUGGGUUAAAAAUCCCCUUGCAAUCCUAGCACCACGGUUAACUGGAGGAGACGCAGGCACCUUAAUCAAACCAGCACAACCGAGCAUUCGGCACCAUGAGGCAAAAUCAAUCGAUCCCUCAAAAAAAAAAAAAACGCACGAGACGACGAUUGAUGUACUGUACCGAAGUCAUGAAGAUUGAUUUAAAGGAAAAAGAUCAGAUAAAGAGAAUUCCAUUAUGCUGCCUAUGAAGGCUGUCCGAAUGCAUUUCCCAGAGCUGGCUUCAUGCCACCAAAGUCAUUGCCUCAAGAGGCAGCGAGGCAACAAGUCAGCUGCCUAAGCUUUCAGACGCAGCCCCCGUAUGUUUGUCUGUCAGAAAAGACGGUGUUUAGGUAUUGAUGUAAGCCUUUUUCAUGCCAUCGCCAUUGACCGAAUUGAGUUGGUGAACAUCUUUCAACAAUCCAGCAAUCUGCUCCUCC